UACAGAGGUCUCAAGCGUUUGUUCGGAUUCAUUGGGCGUAAAGGGUGCGCAGGCGGCGCGGUAAGUCGGGUGUGAAAUCUCAGAGCUCAACUCUGAAACUGCACUCGAUACUGCUUUGCUUGAGGACUGGAGAGGAGAUUGGAAUUCACGGUGUAGCAGUGAAAUGCGUAGAUAUUGUGAGGAAGACCAGUGGCGAAGGCGGAUCUCUGGACAGUUCCUGACGCUGAGGCGCGAAGGCCAGGGGAGCAAACGGG
rnacentral:rRNA from 1 species